rnacentral:rRNA from 1 species
ACGAACGCUGGCGGCAGGCUUAACACAUGCAAGUCGAGCGCCCCGCAAGGGGAGCGGCAGACGGGUGAGUAACGCGUGGGAACGCACCUUUUGGUUCGGAACAACUCCGGGAAACUGGAGCUAAUACCGGAUAAGCCCUAACGGGGAAAGAUUUAUCGCCGAAAGAUCGGCCCGCGUCUGAUUAGCUAGUUGGUGAGGUAACGGCUCACCAAGGCGACGAUCAGUGGCUGGUCUGAGAGGAUGAUCAGCCACACUGGGACUGAGACACGGCCCAGACUCCUACGGGAGGCAGCAGUGGGGAAUAUUGGACAAUGGGCGCAAGCCUGAUCCAGCCAUGCCGCGUGAGUGAUGAAGGCCUUAGGGUUGUAAAGCUCUUUUGUCCGGGAAGAUAAUGACUGUACCGGAAGAAUAAGCCCCGGCUAACUUCGUG